UGGCGAACGGGUGAGUAACGCGUGAGUAACCUGCCCUGGAGUGGGGGACAACAGUUGGAAACGACUGCUAAUACCGCAUAAGCCCACGGCCCGGCAUCGGGCUGCGGGAAAAGGAUUUAUUCGCUUCAGGAUGGACUCGCGUCCAAUUAGCUAGUUGGUGAGGUAACGGCCCACCAAGGCGACGAUUGGUAGCCGGACUGAGAGGUUGAACGGCCACAUUGGGACUGAGACACGGCCCAG
rnacentral:rRNA from 1 species